CAAAAAUUAGCUGGGCUUGGUGGCACAUGCCUGUCAUCCCAGCUACUCAGGAGGCUGAGGCAGGAGAAUCAACUGAACCCGGGAGGAAGAGGUUGCAGUGAGCUGAGAUCGCACCAUUGCACUCCAGCAUGGGCAACAGAGCAAGACUCCAUCUCAAAAAGAAGAUUCAUUCAUGUUACUGCAUGAUCAAUAGCUUGUUCCUUUUAUCACUAAAUUGAAUUCUGUUUUAUGGAUAUACCACAGUUUGUCCAUUCCCCUGUUGAUCAUUUUGGCUGCUUCCCGUUUUUAAUGACUAGGAACAAAGCAGUGAAUGUUGCAUGCAGGUUUUAUGUGGACAUACUUUUCAAAUCAGUUGGGUAAAUAUCUAUGAGUGCUUUCGGGUUCCAUGGUAGGCGUAUACUUAGCUUUGUAAGAAACUGCCAAACUUUCUUCCAGAUGCUGUAUCAUUUUGCAUUCCCCCAGCAGUGGAUGAGAGUCAUUGUUGCUCCACAUUCCCCCAGGCCCCGCCUUUUCCCUCCAGGCAUCUGUGAAACGCACAGUGCACACCCAGCUGCUCUGGCCUGGCCCCCAGCCUCACCUCAGCACCAUUUCCUGCUGCAUCACUCUGGCUGCAGCUCAGCGGCUCUUUCCCCCUGGCCCUCUGUCCCCACCCCGCUCACUGUUCACUGGGUGAUAUGGUUUGGCUGAGACUGGAUAAUUUAAUUCCAUCUCAAAUUGUAAUCCCCAUAGUCCCCAUGUGUUGAGGGAGGGCCUGGUGAGAGGUGAUUGGAUUGUGGGAGUGGUGUCCCCCAGGCCUGUUGCCAUGUAAGAUGUGCCUGCUUCCCCUUCCGCCAUGAUAGUAAGUUUCCUAAGGCCUCCCCAGCCAUGCAGAACUGAGUCAAUUAAACCUCUUUCCUUUAUAAAUUACUCAGUCUCGUGUGGCGACUUUAUAGCAGAGUGAAAACUGACUAAUACACUGGGCCAGUUCCUUGUCUCUCUGUAGAUCUGGGCUUGCAUAUGCGUACCUAGGAGUCCCUUCUCCUCACACUCUCUGUUUUUUGUGGGUUGUUGUGGCUUUUGUUGUUUUUGAGACAGGGUCUCAUUUCGUCGCCCAGGCUGGAGUCCAGAAAUGUGAUCACCGCUCACUGCAGCCUCAACCUUCCAGGCUCAGGCAAUCCUCCUGCCUCAGCCUCCCAAGUAGCUGAGAUUCUACAAGUGCAUGCCACCAUGCCCAGCUAAUUUUGUGUGUGUGCGUAUUUUUGUAGAGAUGGGUUUUACCAUGUUACCCAGGCUGGUCUCCAACUCCUGGGCUCAAGCGAUCCUCUUAUCUUGGCCUCCCAAAUGUGGAGUCUUAAUUAGGGAAAAGGAGUCAGGCUGGUGGGACCAAAUCAAAGCAAAGAGAUAAAGCAGAUAAGCUGUAAAUAUGCUUUUCUUCACGGUUCAGGACAUAUAAACAAAAAGAGAAAGCAGAAGAAUUAUAGGUCUGUUUUUCCUUAUUGCCCAGGACAUACAGACCUCCUGAACAAACAACAUACAUAACUCUCAAAUUUCUGCUUAGCAUCAAAUGCCUCAAUUUAUCAAACAUCCUGGCUGACAGAAGAGUGCAAGUUUGCAAGUUAGUUCCCAAGUUCCAUUCUAUAAAAUCCUCAGCAAGCAUUUGUUUCCUGGCAGUUAGCUUCUCUCUUGCAGGCUGCCCAUUGCCUUAUCACAAUGUAUUUUCCUACUUUCUUUAAUACAUCUGCCUUUCUCUACCUACAGCUGUCUUGGUAGUUUCUUUUACCUCCACGCCACCAGCCCAGAUAGUCGUUGCUCCCCGGUGACACUUGGGUGGCCCAUACGGGGACUCUCUCUCCUAUUGGGAAACUCUCUCCCCUCUCUCUUUUCAUUUCCCAACUCAGGACCCUUAGCGGACAAAGUCUAAGCACAGAGGCAAUUGCAGGUCUCUGGUCGGAGUGACACGCUGGUGAGACUGAAAGGUGUCUGUGUGGAAGCAUCUAACCACCACUGCCCAUUCAGAUGCCAACUGUGGGGGGAAUAAAGUUGCUUAGCAACGUGGAAAUGGGAGAAGCUAUAAGGCUUCCCAGUGUUCACGCAAUCGUCCCUAUUUCUGUGCCUCUUCUACCUUUCAUCCCAGAGGUUAACUGGUGCUGUGAAUUCUGAAAUGUGUCAGACCCACACUGCAGUCUGAAGGCUCUCUCGACCUACGCUUGCUCCAUCUCCCGUUUAUCCUCCAUUUAUGUUUCCUCUAAUAAAUUCUUGCACAUCUAACUUUGUCAUGUCAUCUGCUUCUCUGAGGACUCAAAUUAUCACCUGGGAUUUUGGAAAGAAGUUUUAUUAGAUGUCUAGUCCACUG
rnacentral:lncRNA from 10 species